rnacentral:rRNA from 1 species
UAAGAAAAACUUUAUAACAAAAAAAACAAGUAAAAAUACAUAAUAAUGCUAUAAUAAAAAUAUCUUUGGUUGGGGCAACCUUGAAGAAUAAGCAACCUUCAAAACUAUAAAAAAUAAACAAAUUUAAAAUUAAUAAUAAUAACAAGACCCAGUAUAUCUGAUUAAAGAAAUUAGUUACCGCAGGGAUAACAGCGUUAUUCUCUUUGAGAGCCCAUAUUGACAAGAGAGUUUGCGACCUCGAUGUUGGACCGGGGAAUCCCAGGAAUGCAGAAGUUCCUAAUAGUAAGUCUGUUCGACUUUUAAAACCCUACGCGAUCUGAGU